CAGUCGAGCGACAGAUGAGGAGCUUGCUCCUCUGACGUUAGCGGCGGACGGGUGAGUAACACGUGGGUAACCUACCUAUAAGACUGGAAUAACUCCGGGAAACCGGGGCUAAUGCCGGAUAAUAUGCGGAACCGCAUGGUUCUGCAAUGAAAGACGGUYUUGCUGUCACUUAUAGAUGGACCCGCGCCGUAUUAGCUAGUUGGUAAGGUAACGGCUUACCAAGGCAACGAUACGUAGCCGACCUGAGAGGGUGAUCGGCCACACUGGAACUGAGACACGGUCCAGACUCCUACGGGAGGCAGCAGUAGGGAAUCUUCCGCAAUGGGCGAAAGCCUGACGGAGCAACGCCGCGUGAGUGAUGAAGGUCUUCGGAUCGUAAAACUCUGUUAUUAGGGAAGAACAAGUGCGUAGGUAACUAUGCGCACCUUGACGGUACCUAAUCAGAAAGCCACGGCUAACUACGUGCCAGCAGCCGCGGUAAUACGUAGGUGGCAAGCGUUAUCCGGAAUUAUUGGGCGUAAAGCGCGCGUAGGCGGUUUUUUAAGUCUGAUGUGAAAGCCCACGGCUCAACCGUGGAGGGUCAUUGGAAACUGGAAAACUUGAGUGCAGAAGAGGAAAGUGGAAUUUCCAUGUGUAGCGGUGAAAUGCGCAGAGAUAUGGAGGAACACCAGUGGCGAAAGCGACUUUCUGGUCUGCAACUGACGCUGAUGUGCGAAAGCGUGGGGAUCAAACAGGAUUAGAUACCCUGGGUAGUCCACGCCGUAAACGAUGAGUGCUAAGUGUUAGGGGGUUUCCGCCCCUUAGUGCUGCAGCUAACGCAUUAAGCACUCCGCCUGGGG
rnacentral:rRNA from 1 species